ensembl:lncRNA
CUUGGGCCCCCACGGCACUCCUUGAUACUGGCACGUCCUGUCAAGGGCUGUAGCUGUCCCUGCUGAGGGAGGAAUUCUGAGCCCUGUGGUCCCAGCUGCUGGGCUCCAGAUCAUGCUGGGAGAAAGGAAUCGACAAAGAGGAGCAGGUUCCCAGCCUGUCACCCAGAUUAAUGAGGGGCCUCAACAGCAUGAUGUACGUGGCACAAGUGGGAGAACGUGGAUGUUCAGCCUGGAGAAAAGAUGCAGGGACAUGUAAGCUGUCACAUAAGGAAGGAUUAACUUUGCUCUGUGUGGCCUACGAAGGGCAGGUGAUCUGUGGGGGUGACACAACCAAACAACAGAGUUUUCAGCACAACAUAAGAUGGACUAUUCUCCAGGAUGCCCUGGAAGAAGGAAGAACUUCUUCAAAGGGUCUGAGGUGCUAGAUGGAUGGUGAGGAGGAAUUGAAACAUCAGUCCAUUCCCACUGGUACCAGCAUGGCAGUGCAGGAGAAGGAACCAGAAGGCAAGAGACCUUCCAGUGCCAGCUUCUCCGAGCUGUGGCCCAGGACGUGAGGACAGCAUUCUCCACAGAGCCUGCCUUGUGCGAAACGAAGAUGCGACUCCUUCCCAAGUACCAUGCUGCUUUUUAUCACCCCAAAAGCUAUUCCGGGGAAGACCUUUUCUCAGUUCUUGCAAUGACACUGUGAAGUAAAAGUGAUCAUCUCCAUGUUACAAACAAAUUCAACACAAUACCAAUCAGAAUCCAGCAAGUCAUAUUGUGGAUUUCAACAAACUGAUUCUAAAGCUUGUAUGGAAAAGCAAAACCCCCAGAAUAACCAACACAAUACUGAAGAAGAACAGAGUCAGAAGACUGACACUACCUGACUUCAAGACUUACUGUAAGUCUACAAUGAUCAAGGCAGUAUCAUACUGGUGAAAAAAACAGACAAGUUAAUGGAACAGAAAAGAGAGCCUAGAAAUAGACCCUCACAAACAGUCACGUGGCCUUUGACCAAGGAGCAAAGAUAAUUCAAUGGGUAAAAGACAGUUUUUGCUGCUGGAACAAUUAGACAUACACAGGCAAAAUCAAUGGAUCUAGACACAAGCUUGACACUCUUUGUAGGAAUUGUCUCAAAGUGGAUCACAGACUUAAUUGCAAAACUAUAGAGACUAUAUAGGACAAAAUCUAGGUAGUCUUGGGUUUGGUGAUGACUUUUUAGAUAUACCACCCAAAACAUGACUCAUAAAAGAAAAAAUGGCCUCAUUGGACUUUAAUAAAAUGAACAUUUUUGCUCUGUGAAAGACACUGUUAUGAAAAGGGAAAGACAAGUUAUAGCCUGGGAGAAAAUCUUUUCAAAACAUGUAUAUGAUGAAAAAUGUGUAUCUCAAAUAUACAAAUAAGUCUUAGGCUGGGGAGGUAUAUUAGUGGUAGAGCCCUUGCCUAGCAUCCACAAAGCCCUGGGUUCCAUCCCCACUAUCAAAACAACAUCCUACCAGUUUAAAGAUAGUGAAAUAUUGGAAUAACACCUAACCUCUCAAAAAAAGACACACAGGUGUCAAAUAUGUAGACAGAAAGAUAUUCAACAUCACAUGUCACUAAAGAAUUGCAAGUUAAAAUAGUGGUGGCUACCACUUCACUCUUAAAGUGGCUAAAACCCUAAACACUGACGAUACCAAAUGUUGAAGAGAAUGUGGAGUAACAGGAAUGCAAAUGGCACAGCCACUGUGGAAGAUUGUUUGGCAGUUUCUUAUAAAGCGAAAAGUUCAGGUAACCCUAAACAUAUAGGCUUACCACAUGAUCUAACAAUCAUACUCUUAGGUAUUUGUCAAAAUGAUUUGAAAGCGUUGCUAACACAAAAACCUAUGCACAAAUGUUAUAGCAGCUUCAUUCAUAGUUGCUUAUAAUUAGAAGCAACCAAGAUAUUCUACAAUAGGUGAAUAAAUAAACAAACUGUGGGAUGUAAAUACAAUGGACUCUUCAUCAAUAAAGAGAAAGAUGCCAUCAAGCCCCAAGAAAUCAUGGAAGAAACUUAGGUAUGUGUUAAGUGAAAGAGCCUGUCUGUAAAGGCUACAUGCUGUAUGAUUGAACUAUAUGUCAGUCUGCACAGGGCAAAGCUAGAGGGACAGUAAAGAUCAGUGGUUACUAGUGGUGUUUAGGGGAGAGUGAAAGGGACAACUACAUGGAGCACAGGCCAUUUUUAAGGUGACAGAAUUAUUCUGUAUGAUACUAGAACAGCAAAUGCAGGGCACCAUGCAUUUGUCAAUAUCCAUAAAAUUAUACAACAUAGAAUGAACCCUAACAUAAACCAUGGGUUAUAGUUAAUGAUGUGUUGAUACUGGUUCAUCAAUGUAACAAAUGUACCCCAAUAAUGCAAGAUAUUAACAGUAGGGGAAACUGUGUAUUGUGGGGGUUAGAGUACAAGGGAUAGAUGGAACCUUUAUACUUUCCUGCUGUAAGUUUCUGCAACUCUAAUACUGUCUUAAUAAUGUCUGUUAAAAUUUAAAAGUAAUUAACAUAUUUGGAUGUAAUUGCAGCUGAUAAUAAUAGAGUAUCUCAGGAUACUUCUAGUUAAUACUUAUUAUCCUGGUAUCCCAUCUGGAUUAAUAUUUGUGCCUCUCAAAAGUAUACUGAGUUGGAUGAUCACUUAUAUGGUCACCUCAGACAAAAGAAUAUUUGUGCUGUUAUAUAAAGAGCUCCUAUAGAUCAAAAGAAAAAGGAUAAUCCAGGAGAAAAAUAGGCAAAGUAUAUGAAUAAACUUCAGUGUUUAACCUAUUUAUAACUAACUAUGGGUAAAGUGAGCUUUUUGGGUAGUAUUUUAUAUAAUAGAUCAUAGUUCAAAGGAAAAAUUCAAUCUAUGCCUUUUAAUUAGGCCAUUUACAUUUAAUUUUUUAUUACCAUCCUUGGAGUGGCUAUAUUAAUGUCAUACAAAGCAGGGUUCAGAGUAAGAAAUACUUCUAAGGAUAAAGAAGAUCACUUCAUAGAGAAUCAAUUCACCAAGAGGACAUAGUAAUACCAGACAUAAACAUGAAACAAAAUCAGAGACCAAUAAGAAGAAACAGACAGGGCCAGGGAUUUAGCUCAGUGGUGCCACUGCCUGCCUCAAAAAUGCAAGGUCCCGAGUUCGAUCCCUGGUACCAAAAAAAAAAAAAGGAAGAAGGAAGAAGAGGAAGAGGAAGAGGAAGAAGAAGAGGAAGAGGAAGAAUAAGAAGAAGAAGGAGGAGGAGGAGGAGGAGGAGGAGGAGGAGGAGAAGGAGACAAACCCCACAGGCAUAGUUA